rnacentral:rRNA from 3 species
GAAACGACUGCUAAGACUGGAUAGGAGACAAGAAGGCAUCUUCUUGUUUUUAAAAGACCUAGCAAUAGGUAUGCUUAGGGAGGAGCUUGCGUCACAUUAGUUAGUUGGUGGGGUAAAGGCCUACCAAGACUAUGAUGUGUAGCCGGGCUGAGAGGUUGAACGGCCACAUUGGGACUGAGACACGGCCCAAACUCCUACGGGAGGCAGCAGUAGGGAAUUUUCGGCAAUGGAGGAAACUCUGACCGAGCAACGCCGCGUGAACGAUGAAGUAUUUCGGUACGUAAAGUUCUUUUAUUAGGGAAGAAUAAAUGAUGGAAAAAUCAUUCUGACGGUACCUAAUGAAUAAGCCCCGGCUAACUAUGUGCCAGCAGCCGCGGUAAUACAUAGGGGGCAAGCGUUAUCCGGAAUUAUUGGGCGUAAAGGGUGCGUAGGCGGUUAAAUAAGUUUAUGGUCUAAGUGCAAUGCUCAACAUUGUGAUGCUAUAAAAACUGUUUAGCUAGAGUAAGAUAGAGGCAAGUGGAAUUCCAUGUGUAGUGGUAAAAUGCGUAAAUAUAUGGAGGAACACCAGUAGCGAAGGCGGCUUGCUGGGUCUUUACUGACGCUGAGGCACGAAAGCGUGGGGAGCAAACAGGAUUAGAUACCCUGGUAGUCCACGCCGUAAACGAUGAGUACUAAACGUUGGGUAAAACCAGUGUUGAAGUUAACACAUUAAGUACUCCGCCUGAGUAGUACGUACGCAAGUAUGAAACUUAAAGGAAUUGACGGGACUCCGCACAAGCGGUGGAUCAUGUUGUUUAAUUCGAAGGUACCCGAAAAACCUCACCAGGUCUUGACAUGCUUCUGCAAAGCUGUAGAAACACAGUGGAGGUUAUCAGUUGCACAGGUGGUGCAUGGUUGUCGUCAGCUCGUGUCGUGAGAUGUUGGGUUAAGUCCCGCAACGAGCGCAACCCUUAUUGUUAGUUACCAGCACGUAAUGGUGGGGACUUUAGCAAGACUGCCAGUGAUAAAUUGGAGGAAGGUGGGGAUGACGUCAAAUCAUCAUGCCCCUUAUGACCUGGGCUACAAACGUGAUACAAUGGCUGUUACAAAGGGUAGCUGAAGCGCAAGUUUUUGGCGAAUCUCAAAAAAACAGUCUCAGUUCGGAUUGAAGUCUGCAACUCGACUUCAUGAAGUUGGAAUCGCUAGUAAUCGCGAAUCAGCAUGUCGCGGUGAAUACGUUCUCGGGGUUUGUACACACCGCCCGUCA